AGAGUUUGAUCCUGGCUCAGAUUGAACGCUGGCGGCAGGCUUAACACAUGCAAGUCGAGCGGUAACAGGAGAAGCUUGCUUCUCGCUGACGAGCGGCGGACGGGUGAGUAAUACUUAGGAAUCUACCUAGUAGUGGGGGAUAGCUCGGGGAAACUCGAAUUAAUACCGCAUACGACCUACGGGAGAAAGGGGGCAACUUGUUGCUCUCGCUAUUAGAUGAGCCUAAGUCGGAUUAGCUAGAUGGUGGGGUAAAGGCCUACCAUGGCGACGAUCUGUAGCUGGUCUGAGAGGAUGAUCAGCCACACCGGGACUGAGACACGGCCCGGACUCCUACGGGAGGCAGCAGUGGGGAAUAUUGGACAAUGGGGGCAACCCUGAUCCAGCCAUGCCGCGUGUGUGAAGAAGGCCUUUUGGUUGUAAAGCACUUUAAGCAGUGAAGAAGACUCCAUGGUUAAUACCCAUGGACGAUGACAUUAGCUGCAGAAUAAGCACCGGCUAACUCUGUGCCAGCAGCCGCGGUAAUACAGAGGGUGCAAGCGUUAAUCGGAAUUACUGGGCGUAAAGCGAGCGUAGGUGGCUUGAUAAGUCAGAUGUGAAAGCCCCGGGCUUAACCUGGGAACGGCAUCUGAUACUGUUAGGCUAGAGUAGGUGAGAGGAAGGUAGAAUUCCAGGUGUAGCGGUGAAAUGCGUAGAGAUCUGGAGGAAUACCGAUGGCGAAUGCAGCCUUCUGGCAUCAUACUGACACUGAGGUUCGAAAGCGUGGGUAGCAAACAGGAUUAGAUACCCUGGUAGUCCACGCCGUAAACGAUGUCUACUAGUCGUUGGGUCCCUUGGAGGACUUAGUGACCGCAGCUAACGCAAUAAGUAGACCGCCUGGGGGAGUACGGCCGCAAGG
rnacentral:rRNA from 1 species